AACAAUAUAUAUGUAAUCAUAGCAAGUUAACAUUCUUUUCCAACACUAAGUUUCAACCAAACACAAAAAGUUAAUGGUUAGCUGUUAGCCUUUUUUAAUUCGACAUUUGCAAUUCUGAUUUACACCAAUGGUUUGUAAAUUUAAAUGAAUGCACUGUUGUUUCGUCAAUAUCAACAUAAAGUAAUAAAAACAAAAUAAUAUAGAAUAAUAAAAUGCAAAUAUACUUUAAACAUAGUAACAAAUUCAGUGUGCCUGACACGACUUUAGCUGCAUCAUUGUCAUUAAUCAUAAACCUUCAUUAGAGGAAGUGAGGGUCAAACUAAUAUAUCCUCAAUAAAACUUGACAUACUUUAUUCUGAACAGAUCAGACAGCCUAUCACCUUAUUUAUAAUAUACUUAGUCAGUCUUAACAUAAUACGUGCACAACAUUAAUGUCAACAAUAAAUAAUAAAAUUUAAAUAAUAAGCCAUCAUUAAUUAAUAGUCCUUACAUAUGAUAAAUAUCAAAAUGCAUGGUUAUAUAAAAUACUCUUAACAUUAAUUAAUCUAUCAAUAGUAAUAAAUAUGAUUCAUCACUGAAAACAAGAUAAAAAGGCUGUCUUUUUUCUACUGCACUAUAUUCUGACAGUAACUUACACUGGAAACUACUUCCAAUCUUUAAAGUUUGUUUACACUAUUUCGUGAUAUCUCAGGUGUUAGUUAAAAAAUAUGAAUACAAAGUUGAUUAUUGUGAGCAUAUGUCUUUUGAACUUUGUAGUUGUUAUAUUAGCUGAUCCUGAUGACAUUGUAGAGGACACAUACAGCAACCUGGUUACUCUAAAAAUGAUAAGGCUUUGUCGCCAGCUGAAAGGUGGAAUGAGGAGCUACUGUUUGAUACAAGUGAUGAAUCGACUAGGAUAUGAUGUCAACAUGCCAACAUUCAACGAUAUAGUGCCCUCGUAUUAACAGAAAUAUAAUGAAGAAGAAAAUAAAAACUGCUUAAUAUGUACUCGGUGUUUUUUCACAUUUAAGUGCCUGUUAAAUGUUUAAGUUUUUUUUUACAUUAUGAAAAUUAAACUUUAACUAAACUUAAAGAAAUUUUGCUUCUUAAUGUAUAAAAUAUUUAUUGAAUCAAUACAAUUUAGACAAGACACUUUCUAGUUGCCAUGUUGUCUGUUAUUUUUGUUAUUUAAAACAGAAAAUGUUGUUAUAUGAUUUGCAAAUCGAUAUUUAAAUACACGUACAUGUUUGUUAAAUAUCUUAUACAUCGUUA